UUGGUUUGGGCCUCUCUGAAGGG
rnacentral:piRNA from 1 species